AACCCUCUGGGGUGCCACCUUGCAGUUUGGCCGGUGGAGCAGCAGGGGUGGAGGUGUCAUUGGUUGAAAGGGCCUUCAUGCCUUUCUCCAGCUCUUCUGUCGUCUGCUUUUCCUCCUCACCGCCGUUCUGUAUGGCUGUGAGACCAGACCAAAGCACCAGAAGUGUGCCCUAUGAAUCAGUGUGGAGUAACACGGAAAAGGACAGACAGACAGACACAGAGGGAGAGAGUACAACAGAACCACACCAUUCGGGACUGGAACCCGCAUCCUCAGGCAUGGGAGGCCAAAACCCAGAGAGUCGUAGCAUCUGUCGCUACACAGGUACACAGUGCACACACAGUGUUGUGUCAAUUUACAGAGCCAGGGCUGGGUAGAAAAAUCUGUUUUGUGGU